AUACGCCUAGAAUACAAGCGAAUACAGAGAUAAAUGUAAGAUGACUCGUAAAAAUAUAAUUAGUAGCAUAAUGGUGUUCAUGUUAUCUUUGUGCGGUAUUUGGCCAGGCAAAUCAAUAAUUUUAAUCAGCAGAGUUUUGGAUUGUUACACUAACAUUUAUCGAAUUUUGUCAUUACUUUUAUUUUUCAAUGCAUUUAAAUUCCCAGAAUCUUUUCAAUUUAAUGGAUUGCUUGAGCAGUUUUUAACACAUGUCAAUGUAGUCACUAAACUUGUUGCAUUCUGAAUAAAUCAGUGAGUAAACGGCGCCAACGCUAUUCUCUAUCAGUCAGAAAUGUCGAUAUGUUUCUAAGAUACGGUUUAUAUUUGGCUCCGGCAGCAUGAUCGAGCAAUCAAAUCAUCCACAGAAAAUUCGUAGAAACUUUGACGUUAAUCACGGACAACUGGGAUGAUUGCGCUUACAGUGACAUUGACGUGCGUGUGAUAAUGCAUAAGGGAAAAUUAUCGAAUCGUAUCACAAUGCAAUAUAAAUACUCAUUCUUUAUACGAUGACUAUCAUCACGUAUUGUUUUGGAGUCAUCAUGGCCGAUGCCAAUGUUCUGUCCACAGAUGUCUACAGAUCAAACGAUCGCCUUUCGUCAACAAAUUGAAACUUUCAGUAUUAACAGCGCAUGUAUAAGCUUGUAUUAACAGCGGAAUUCGUGCACUUGGUUCUCUGUAAUUGGACAGCCGGUAUUAUAAAUGCCAUACUUUUGACUUUGACAAUUGGCAUUCCUGAUGCUGCGAAACAGAUUACAAAUGUAGUAAAUGUUUAUACAGUAAAUGUUUAUACAAAUCUAGAAGCAGGUAUAUUUUGCUACGCUAGAGAAUAUCGAGACAAUAAGAUUUCUAUGAAAUAAUUGUUAUAA